CGCGCCUGCUGGUGUGGCGAAGCCGCGACCUCCCGAGCGAGCAGCCUCGGACUCCCUCGGGCGGGCCUGGUGAGCCAGACGCAGCGACACAGCCGGCCCGGCCGCCGGCCCGGCCCCCGCCCUGAGUCCCCACAGCCUCCGAGCCCCGCGCCGCCCGCGGGAACGACCUCCGGACGCGCGUACCUUCGCUCCUGCCCAGGAUCCGGCAGCACAGGUUCUGCAGCAGAACGUUGGGCGACUUCUGGUCGGGGGUCGCCAUCGUCGCCCCGAGCUUGCACACGGCCUGCUGCCCGCGUCCGCUGCUCCUGCGCCCGGGCUACGGCGCCGCCAUGUUCGCGGAAGCCGCGAAAGCGCGCGCUUCCCACAAGGCCCCGCUCCUCACGCAUGCGCGAUCUCAGUGUCCGGCCCCGCCGCAGGUCCCCGCCGCUGCUGGCGCGCCAAAAGAGUUCCUGGGGGACGCCAGAAGGGUACCGGGGUGUUACCGGACGGACGGCUUUGAAUAAAGCAGGUGGCCUUUCCUAGUGGGCGGGGCCUCUCCCAGGCCGCUGUAGGCCUGAGCAGAGAAAAUGCCCCGCAUGCAGCGUCUCCCUGGUCUCCAGCUCGGAGUCACCUGCAAAUCUCAGACUCUCCAGACCCCAAGCCGUGGAGAUGGUUCCUUCGGUAAAUCUUUUUCCUUAUACGUGUGUGUGUGUGUGUGUGUGUGUGUGUGUGUGUGUGUAUCUGACCGACGCGGACCCAUGAGAGAGACCCCAGCACUACAGCAAACCCACGGGAGACAUGAAAACUGGCUCGGCCCAUAGGGCUAAGAGCUGAACAGGCCCCAGUCAGGGCAUGCGCCCCUCCCUCGUCAGACGCUUUCUGCUUGUGCGCAGGCGUGUGUCUGUGCGUGGUGCUCAGUGUAGAGCUCCGGGCACCCACCACUAAACUACACCCCUGCAGUCCUCCUUUUUAUUUUUUAUCUUGGGACAGGAUCUCCCUAAGUUGCUCAGAUGGGCUGGGACUUCCGAUCCUCCUGCCUCUGCCUCCCUCGGUGCUGGGAUUACAAGCGUGUGCCAUGCUGCCUGGCAAAAGUUUCUUGACGAAUGAGGCUAUCGGUACUCAGCUCUCUCAAUAUAAGGCUCCUCUGAUGACCGAGUGCCUAAAACUCGAGAACACUCUUUCCAACUCCAAUUAACUUACAAAUGUAUAUGAGCUUCACUUUUAAAGAUUAUAAUGAUUUACUGUUCUGACCCCAGACCGACAGAUAAAAACUUCACCUACGUGUUGGAAAUCUCUUAUCUUCCAGGAAAAAGUCACUCAACUGCCGAGUGGAGGUGAUGUGAACGCUUGGAUGUGGGGUGAGCGGAGAAUCACUGUGCAGAGCUUCCCGGGCCAGGCUCCCAGAACAGGCCUGAAAUUAACAUCUGCAGAAGACCAGGAGCCUUGAGGGAGGGGAGAGGCCAUGCUCACCGCCAGAUGCUGGCCAUUUCCGUGGGUGGCCCUGCCCAGACCUGGCGCCCAAUGGAGCCCCUUACCCCAACUGCAGGCUGCCCACCCUCCCCUUCUGAGCACCCUGCCUUCGGGCUCACCGCAGAUUUCCUGGUGAAAGCACCACUACCCAGAUUCUAGCUCCAGAAUCCAGUGUCACUGAUGAUGGGCAGAAAGAAUCGACCCUCUUCUCCCAUGAAAACAGUUCAAAUUUUAAAAUCUUUGCUCUGAUUUUCCCUCCUAGGUUUCUAUUAGGUUCUACUUCAUUUUCUUCAGUGCUUUGGCAUUAAGGCCUUUUAUUUUAGUUCAUGCAUUCUUUUUUACAUUUUCAAGUUUUCCAUUUGGUGUCUUUUAGUUUGGAAAACUGUCAUAAAGUAUUCACUUACAAAUAGUCUUUCUCUUAUUGGCAACAUUAUAUACACACAAUUCUUUAAAAAAAAUUUUUUUGCUCCCAAGAUAACAAAUGUGCAUUGAAAAAUUAGGGUACCAUAGAAAUGCCUAAAAAAUGAAAGUCAUAAUUGCAUGCACAUGGAUAACACUACCAAUACUCUGCUAUAUGCACACUUCAUCUCUUUCCACAGUGUAUGCACACACAGUUGUACUGCACAUACUUGUUUCUGAGAUAGGGUCUCCCUAGGUUCUCCAGGCUGGGCUCGAACUUGACUCUCCUGCUUCAGUUUCUUGAGAGGCGAGGAUUACCGGUGCCCCUCACCAAGCCUGGCUUAUAGCUCAUAUUUUCU
ensembl:lncRNA